AUGAGUGAUGACAAGAUGUUUCGGUCCCAAAUGAAGCCUACUGAUUACCGUUACAUUUAUUGCUGACAUU
rnacentral:snoRNA from 7 species